GUAGGGGUCCUGCGCAAUGUGGCGCCGUGAACCUUGUCAGGUCCGAGAGGAAGCAGCAAUAAGCGGUUUGCAUCAUGUGCCGCAGAUAAGCCUCUACGCA
rnacentral:SRP_RNA from 1 species